rnacentral:lncRNA from 1 species
UAGAGCACCAUAUUACCACGGAAAGAAAAUGCUGUAGCAUAAAGGCUAUGGUUCAGGUCAUUUGUAUCCAGAGUUUGCCAUUAAAGAUACAGUAUGCUACCCUUUUGGCUUCCAUCAGUAGAAUUGCAGAAAGCUGGAGUGAUUACCGAACACCAUGUUCUACUUCUGCAGUCAAAAGAGGAAGAGACUGCCAAGCCUGCCAAGCAACACACUGCAUUUGGCAAGAUCUUCCAACCUUUAUGAGUUCUGAUUCAUCUUCAUCACCUCGGCCAUUCUUCUGUCAAUAAUCUUGCAGAAGAACACUUGUAGAGAAGUUUUAGUAACUGCACAUGCACCUGUCACUCAAACGGAAGCCUUUUCUGUCAGGUAGUAAAGUCUUUAAAUCUCAGAUGUCGCUGUUCUUUAUCCGCUCUGUAGUAAGUCCAUGAUAUUUAACAUUGCACUUUUAUCUUGUGGAAAGUCUGGUGAUAAUAAAGUGUCAUAA